rnacentral:rRNA from 1 species
AACGAACGCUGGCGGCGUGCCUAACACAUGCAAGUCGAGCGAGAAAGUUCCGGCAACGGGAUGAGUAAAGCGGCGAACGGGUGAGUAACGCGUGGGUAAUCUGCCCUUCAGCUCGGAAUAACCUGCCGAAAGGUGGGCUAAUACCGGAUACGAUCCUUUGGCGGGAGCUGGAGGGUGAAAGUCGGCCUCUCGAAGAAGCCGAUGUUCGAGGAUGGGCCUGCGUCCUAUCAGCUGGUUGGCGGGGUAACGGCCCACUAAGGCGACGACGGGUAGCUGGUCUGAGAGGAUGAUCAGCCACACUGGCACUGAAACACGGGCCAGACUCCUACGGGAGGCAGCAGUGAGGAAUUUUGCGCAAUGGGAGCAAUCCUGACGCAGCAACGCCGCGUGGGUGAUGAAGGCCUUCGGGUCGUAAAGCCCUGUCAGGUGGGAAGAAUGGCAUCGGUUCGAAGAGGGUUGAUGCGUGACGGUACCACCAGAGGAAGCACCGGCUAACUCCGUGCCAGCCGCCGCAGUAACAC